rnacentral:lncRNA from 1 species
GCAUAUCCCAUAUUAGAUUCUUAACUUGCCAACUCACCCCUCCAUUUUUACUCUUUUUUCCUUCUCCUUUACCCAAAAUUCAUCACAUUCUCCCUACUCAAGUCAUUACCUCACUCUUAUUUUGUCUUCAUAAAAACAUCACCAAUCCAUCCAUAUAAAUAAAAAUCAUAAAAACAUCACCAAUCCAUCCAUAUAAAUAAAAACUAGCCAAGUCUUCUAAUUAUCAAACCUCUAGGCUAGUUUUCUUGAGUGGUAGCCACCCUUUUAUCAAUAUUUUUCGAUGGAGGAAGAUGAAGGAGAACUCUUACGUAAACAGAAAAGACUGGAACCGUCAAAUGAAGUAAACAGAAAAGACUGAAAUCGUCAACUAAAGAUAGUGAAAGGGUAGCUGCAAAAGAUGGUUUUUGUGCAUGGUUUCUAAGCUUGUUGGUAAGCUAAUUGCCAUUUUUAUGGUGGUCGUUUUCUGGUCAAAUUUAAGGGCAACUUCUAUUCCUUUGGCAUUUGGAGUCUAUUGAUGGGCUCUAGGAAUUGAAUUAUAGUUUUUUAAUUAAAAAAAAGAAGAGUAUAUUAAUCUCAAAGGCAAGGCAGAUUAUAUUUAUAUAUGCUAAUUAUCCUGUCUUUACUUAGUUCUUAUUGAGUAUUUUAUUAAAUCUCUUGUGUGUGUUUGUAAUUUACUUAAUGAAAAAACCUUGUUUUAUGUAUUAGGCCUAUGGCCAGAAUAAUGAUUUAGUGUUGUAUUAACAAUGUCUGAGUGUGGUUUGUUAUUAUGAUUUGUUUUUUAAAGCAUUAUGUUCCCUACGUGAAACAAGAAAAGGGUGUAUGUAUGAAGCUUAUAGGUAGUACAUUUGUGCAUUGAGCAGAUUUAUGAAUGGUUGAUAGUAAUA